UCGUCCUCUCCAAUCGCCUCCCCGUGAGACAAGCGGCGCCCAGGCCAAAUCCCCACCCAACCAUGCCUCCCUCCCGUAGUCAUCUCUGCUCGUCCCUCUCAUCCAUCCCUGCUCCUUUCCGCGUGCGGCCGCCGGCGAGGAUCCGCUGCUCCAACGACGUCGUGCCUGGCACCCGUUUUCCCCAAGACCCCUCCGACGAGGACGUUCACGGCGGGAGCUGCUCCGUGGAGAUAGCGGUGUUGACCUCCAUGGACGGAGUGGGGAUCAGAGGAACGCGUCCUCUCGUGCCUCCCAACCCUGCCGUAUCCUGCAUCUCCGCUCUCCCAGCGCUCGAGGAGGACGACCUCUGCGGGUGCGUCCCCAACUCAACAGCCACCAGCAGCGGUGGCAUCUUGCUGCUGGUGUGGCCUUGACUGUGUGUUGAAGGUCAUCCAGCCGACAUCCUCCUGUACAGAAUCUCCAACCUCUCCGUCCCUUCCUCCUCAUGUCAAGGGUUGCGUUUCUCUCAAUAUUUUUGGUUCACCUGUGUUAUGAAAGAACAAGAUAAAGUUGCACAGAAGAUUUUGCUCAAAUAUAGCAGUAUGCUAAAGGAGCACGGCCGCUGCUGUACCACGCGAGAGGGAGACCUGAGGCUGCUGCUUGAUGAAAUACAACAUGAUUAUUCUGCCAUCUCGGGUCAGGUUUGAAGUAUGCUAAAGGGGCAUGGCUGCCGCCGUACCUGAGGCUGGUACACUAGUUAAUGUAAACUGCGCCUCCUGCAGUUUGGCCAACUUUGAAACCCCUUGUGCCCAGUAGCUGUUGUGUGGCAAGAUCCUGAACGAAUGACUCGUUGCAGACGCGCACAAGUGGGAUCAAUGGGUACAAUUGCCGCGACGUGCGAAAGGUAAGUAGCUGGCGCUAAUAAUUUAGCUUCUCCUCCACACUUUAAGCCCCACUCGCCAGAACGUUUACUGUUACGGACGCGGUGUCCCAUCAAAAUCUGGCUGCGUGGAAAGGGACACUGUGUGGUGGCUUGGGACACAGUAUUUCUUCUAUAAAUGUUCCAAGAGUACCCGGCCAGGGAGAUGGUCUCCAGGGGGCAGUCUUCGUUGGCCGUUCGAUCCACCCUGAGCAGUAAUUUUCAGCUCCCACUUUCUACCUCAACCGUCGGAUGUGAUCGUUCUUUUUUUCCCCAUUCCUUCCGGUUCUUGGUCCAUGACGUCUGGGUCCAAACGAGUGUGGGGCCGCCAGCGAGAGGCAGCGAGGGUUGCUCGUUUGAGUCGCCUUUCUUUUCCUACGCAGCCGGGCAGCGGUGAAACCCUAGAUCGGUGAACCACUACCCAAUACGCUGCCUCCUCUCCUCCGCAAUCCAUGCCUCGUCUUUUCCUCCCCCAAUCCGCGCCGCCUCUCUCCUCGCUCCCCAAUCCGCGCCCGUUUCUCCUCCCGAGUCGUCGAGGGCCAAGGCGCGGUCGCAGAGCGCGCCCGAG